CGGCGGACGGGUGAGUAAUGCCUAGGAAUCUGCCUGGUAGUGGGGGACAACGUUUCGAAAGGAACGCUAAUACCGCAUACGUCCUACGGGAGAAAGCAGGGGACCUUCGGGCCUUGCGCUAUCAGAUGAGCCUAGGUCGGAUUAGCUAGUUGGUGAGGUAAUGGCUCACCAAGGCGACGAUCCGUAACUGGUCUGAGAGGAUGAUCAGUCACACUGGAACUGAGACACGGCCCAGACUCCUACGGGAGGCAGCAGGA
rnacentral:rRNA from 1 species